UACGAAGGGUGCGAGCGUUGUUCGGAAUCACUGGGCGUAAAGGGCGCGUAGGCGGCCCUCCUUGUCGCGUGUGAAAGCCCCGGGCUCAACCUGGGAACGGCGCGCGAGACGGGGGGGCUGGAGUUCGGGAGAGGAGCGUGGAAUUCCCAGUGUAGAGGUGAAAUGCGUAGAUACUGGGAGGAACACCAGUGGCGAAGGCGGCUACCUGGACCGGUUCUGACGCUGAGGCGCGAAAGCGUGGGUAGCAAACAGG
rnacentral:rRNA from 1 species